rnacentral:lncRNA from 1 species
UGGACAUAGAGAUGUACCCAAGGGGCACAGAAAGUAUAUAACGACUAGAAAGACCUUUGUCACAUCAUCCCAAAGAGCCUGCCAGUGUACGAAAGGUGAACGAAGCACAAAGGAAGCCCAGAAGGAGCCAGAGACACCCCUCCCCGAGCAGGAUGGAGGGAGGAAUAUGAGGUGCAAGAAUGGCCAGGCUCCUGAGCUAUGUUUGAACUGUUUCUGGGCAAAACAACACAGAAAACUUCAAAGCAAGCCUCCUGCCACCCAUCCAGAAAAAUCUCAACUUUGCCUUCGUGACAUGUUCUCCAACAACCUGUGCUGCAACCUGUGGGGACCAGGACACCGAGAGAAGUGGGAUCAGAAAACCCAGAGGGAUGUCCCCUAGAGUUUAGACAAUGCAUGGUUUUCCACUGAAACACAGAUUUCUCACAUGAAAGAUGGCAGGGUUGAAGCUAAGGGAUUAGAAGGAGCAAAUCCUUGGAGCUUCUGAGAAAGGGAGGCAUCAGGAGCAGUUUGCAGACCGAGAACAAGGGCCCUCACAUUUCUAGAGGAUAGCAGAGCUUCCCUUGUUAAAUUGUGAUCCAUUGUCUGGAUCCCUGCUGAAUUUUGUGGUUAAAAUUCUGAUGUGAAAGACCGGAGGGCUUGCUUCAGGGACAGCCAGGAAGGUGAAGCCACCCAGCAAGGCCGGACCCCAGAGCCUUCGUGGGCAGGAGGCCCACAAGUGUUGGCGAGGGAGGUAGAGCUGCAGGGGAGCGGCAUGUGGCGCCACUCAGGCGGCCUGACCAAGGCUGGACCGCUCAGAUCAGGUGCUGCCUUGAAUGUUCUGCACACCAGGCAGGCCCUGAGGGCCGGGCCUGAAUGGAGGGAUGUGCAUUCCAGAACUGCAGCCAGAAAGGACAAGGUUACCCCAAAAGAGCCCCAGGGAUUCCCUGAAGGAGGAAUUUGGGGGCUCUGUGAGGGAAUUCCUGCUUAUGGGAGCAAGACACGCUGGAGCCCCUGUGAACACAGCAUGCGGAGCUCUGCCGGUGAUCUCCACCCUGUCACCUCCAAAGCUGAGUGGAGGGAGGAAGCACUUCAGUACCCGCUGAACUGAAGAGAUUCUCCAAAAAAGUUAUAGCGUGACUGGAGGCGCAAAACCCUGCCUCUACCUCCAUCCAGCCUCCUGAUAAAUUGCGGAAAGUCUGGAAACAUUCUCACUUCUACCACCAGAUGGCGCCAUCGACACAUUCCCUCCGCCCCCACAACCGCCGCAUGCCCCCGGCUAAUUGUUAAACCAGACAAGAAGCCCUCACAUCUAUAAAGGAGCCUGGUAGAUCCCAAACGACCCUCUGGCUCAGGGCAUGCACAGAAACCAUGGGAAUUCCAAGUGUGUGAGGGGAGGAGCAGAGGAAAGCAGAUACUGCCUGGAGAGCUGAGAACCCAGACAGUGAAAGGCCAUCCAGAUCAGAAAUCUCUAUUUCUCCAACCCUCUUCACUACACACUGCUCUUGUUCUUUUUAUUGUCUCACUUCCCUUUGUACAAAGAUUGAAGUUCCAACUAUUGAAAAUUCAGUGGUUGGGGCUGGCCCUGUGGGGCAGCUUAGUGGUUAAGUUCAUAUGCUCAGCUUCCACCACCCAGGGUUCAUGGGUUCUGAUCCUGGUCUGGACUUAUGAGCCACUCAUCAAGCCAUGCUGUGGCAGGCGUCCCACAUAUGAAACAGAGGAAGAUGGGCACAGAUCGUAGCUCAGGGCCAGUCUUCCUCAGCAAAAAGAGGAGAAUUGGUGACAGAUGUUAGCUCAGGGCUAGUCUUCCUCAAAAAAAAAAAAAAAAAAAGAGCCAGACAACCUGAUUGAAAAAUGGAGAAAGGAAUUGAACAGACAUUUCUCCAAAGAAGAUAUACAAAUGGCCAAGAAGCACAUGAAAACAUGCUCAACAUCAUUAAUCAUUCAGGGAAAUGCAAAUCAAAACCAUGAGAUACUACCUUACACCCAUUAGGAUGGCUAUUCUUUUUUUUUUUUUUUUUUGAGGAAGAUUAGCCCUGAGCUAGCAUCUGCUGCCAAUCCUCCUCUUUUUGUUGAGGAAGACUGGCCCUGAGCUAACAUCUGUGCCCUACUUUAUAUGUGGGACGCCUACCACAGCAUGGCUUGCCAAGCAGUGCCAUGUCCACACCCGGGAUCUGAACCAGCUAACCCUGGGCCUCUAAACAGGAACGUGUGAACUUAACCCCUGUGCCACUGGGCCAGCUCCAGGAUAGCUAUUCUUUAAAAAAAAAAAAGGGGUCAGAAAAUAACAAGUGUUGGCAGGGAUUUGGAGAAAUUGUAAUCCUUGUGUACUGAUGGUGGAUAUGUAUAAUGGUGCAGCUGGUAUGAAAAACAGGUGGCGCCUCAAAAUAUUGAAAAUAAAAUUACCAUAUGAUCUAGCAAUUACACUUCUGAGUAUAUACUCCAAAGAAUUAAAAGCAAGAUCUCAAAGAGAUUUUUAUACACUCAUGUUCAUAGCAGCAUAUUCACAAUAGCCAAAAAGUGGAAACAACCCAAAAGUCUUAUCGGUGGAUGAGUAGAUAAAUGUGGUAUUUACAUACAAUGGAAUAUUAUUCAGCCUUAAAAAGAAAGGAAACUCUGACACGUGCUACAGCACGAAUGAACCUUGAGGACAUUCUGCUAAGUGAAAUAACCCAGUCAGAAAAGGACAGAUAUUUUAUGAUUCCACUUAUAUGAUGAACCUGGAGCAGUUA